UCUCAUUAUGUGAACUAUAUUCCAAUCUUUAUGUGCCAGUUGUUAUUUGUUUUCAGCCACCCAUUUCUGGUGCAUCCAUCCCUUUUAUCAUGCAGCUGGAUGCUGAAAUGCUUACCAUUGAGGUGAGCUAUUGUCUAGCAUGUUAGCUGAGAAUUAAGUUUUCACUAUCAGCUGCUAUCUGCUUUAAGGGAAAAGACCUAUCAGACUAGCAUCGUGUGAGGCUGCUUCCAGUUGAAUUUGGAUCAGAGUUGAGUAUUGUGGGCCACCACCUCUUCUGCUCUGAUUUUUGUGUGAGUCCUCAUUUGAUAGUACAAGGUAUUGUACAUGAGAAAAGAAGAGAGAAGUGGAGUUUGAAUCUACAUGGAAGGAUGAAACACAGUAACACACCUUCAUAGCUAGGACAUGACAUUCAAGAUUAUUUUGAAACAAUUGCACAUCAUUGUCAAAUCGUCCUCUGGUCAAUCUUCAUUGAUAUGGGCAAUUGUAUUAUGCAUUUAACAUUCAACUCUCAACUGUUCCCAGUGACUUUAACUAUGUUCCUGUUGGCAUGCGCAGAUCAUAAUUGUAAACAAUUAUUUUAUUUGUGUAAACACGUAGUAUUAAGUAACUUUUUUAGCUAACCAAAGUGGGAUAUAUGAUGGAAGAAAAGUCUAUAUUUUUCCAUUGGUCA